rnacentral:lncRNA from 1 species
CCAUGUGCUUUUUCGCAUUGGUGUUGCCGAUCGGCUGUAAAAUAGCGGGAACAAAAUCAAGUAAGUUUACCGCUAUUUCUCCUUAAAACACAUUACACCUUCAAAAUUUUGUAGACUCAUGGAGCUAAGAAACUGAAUGACUUACUCUUAUUAAUGGGCUUAUGUACUAAUUCUGAAUUUGUGCAGUUGAGAAAUGUUCGAAGGUUUGAUUUUUAUUUUUCAGUCGAAUGUGAAGUCCUCCAUCAAGAAAGACAUUAUGUAAAUUUUUAACCUAGUUUCCAGAAAAGAAUGUGUUUUCCAGUGACCUUUUUGGGAUAGUUUUGAAUUUGAAAUACAUUUUUUGUUUUGUUAAAAGUUUCAAGCAACUCAAGAAAAAUUAUAAACAUUUCUACUCUGGCCUCAACGUAUGCGCAGAGACUGUUCUUCUUUAUGGCUUCGUGGAAGGUUACUAGCUGUGAGAAGGUACUUUCCACAAUCACUGGUUCGCGUCGUCCGAUGCUUAUGAAAUCAGAGUCGGAGACACGGGACCAGGGAUAUACCAGACGAACUCGCAAACGGUUCAUUUGAAGCACAUGUUGUAAAUUGGCGGCAAACUCGGCAUUGCGCAUUCUAACUUAAUUGCAAAGAUUAUCUGGGAGGUGACGGACAGAACAGUGAAAAUAUGUAUACAAAAAACAAAGUGAGCAAAUGAGGCGGCAGAAACAAAACGACUAUUCUAGGAGGAGGAGGGAAGUAAACUUCAUCCUGGCAAAGAGAGAAGAGAAGAGGGCAGAGAGGAGGAGACAAAGAUCGGAGGUGGAAGAGAUGUGUAAAUUAAGGUAAGAUUAAAGCAUCAAAAUAUGAAAAUAUAUUGCUACGAAACAAGUGUCAUGUGCUCUGCGAUCUUGUCAAAAAGAACCUUAGUUUUACUGUAAAGUGUCUAUCAGCAGAAAUUGUGCUAUGAUUUUUGUUUUGUAAUAUUUUAUUUUUGUUGCCAUGUUGACCUUAAAUGAAUCAUUUUUAUUCAGGCCUCCCUACCAAUGGCAUAACUGCAUUGGCGAAAAUUCCCCCCCCCCCUUUCCAUUUUUACUAUAUAUUUUACUAUACUAUUUCAUUAUAAGGAAUAAUUUAAUAUAAUAUGCCUAAUUUGCGUAAAUCUUUAAUAACUGCCGUGUAAUAUAUUUGUUCCCAUAUUUGGGUAUAUUGUUCAUUAAUAUAUUUUUUGAAAAGUUUAUUUUUGUGAUUAUACUUACACUUCCUUACUUCAAAUAUUUUCUAAAGCAUAUAAGUGACUGAAUAAUUAUGAGGACAUAAAAACAAUCCAAAAUGCCUACUAUUAUACCCUAAGGUUGCUCACAUAUACUUUGCAUCAGAUGUCAUCAAGUAGUCUCGCCAAACGUCAGUUUUGAUGAGCUCCAAAUUUACAAAGUCACUUUCUGGCACAGUUACCCUAACAAAGUUAAUUGGGAUAUUAUGUGGCAAAUGAUAAAAUCUUGAUAUUUAGGCCAAUAAUGAAAACAGGGGAGGUGUCCGUAAAUUGGGCUAAAAUUAGGGUUGCCUAACGUGGGGGACUUAAACAACUUCAAGGAAAUCCCCCCAAAUCAAAUAUUAUUGUUACAUGUACAUUAAUUAUGUCAAUGUUGAAAUGUUUUCUUAUCAAUAAUUUUGGGAAUUUUCCUGAACGUGCUCAAGCCUCCCAUGUUAUGCAACCCUUCAACCACCUUUUUGCCCAAUUAAUGGACACCUCAUUUCCCCCCUUUUAUAUCACACUGUUAUCUUUGUUCACAUGAUUUUCCAUAAGGUUUUUAUGGGUUAACCAUUUUAGAUUAUUACUAUAGCCGUGUCUGCACUGGACUUUUUUUGGAAGGUUUUACCGAGACGAUGGUAAAAUGAGAAAUGGUCAAAUGUGACCACUGUCCACACUUGGACUUUUGCACAGGAAAUUUUACCCAGACCGUGUUGGAGAACAUGGAGAAAUAACUGAGCUGUCAGUUCUGGUAUAAUGACUCACCGUAUGUGGAAAACGAGAUGCUGGUCAAAUUUUCAGCCGCCGAUACGCACAGUAAUUACAAACGCCAUUUGCAAUCGUUCUUGGUGAUGAACAUAAAGAAUUACUGAAUAACAUACACUUACAAUGUAGUCUUUUUGUAGUCUUUAUGUAGUUUGUUUGCUUUUAUCCAGUCUGAUAUCAGAACAAGGUCAGUAUUAACAAUGUAAAUCAAAUUAUUAAUAUUUUUGUUACUAUAGAAUAAAUUUGAAUUGAUCGGCGAAUAAGAUACAUGACAAACGUUAUGAGACAUUAACUAGGUCAUUUAUAUAAACAAGAAAUAGUAGUGGUUUAAGAAUAGAUCCUUGAGGAACCCCACAUGUCAAGGAACAUAUAUUAGGAGUGUCGUAAACUAAUACAUAUUGCUCUCUGUUAGAGAGAUAAGUUUGAAACCAAGCAAGAAGGACUCAUGAUGCCAUAGUAAUUAAGCUUGUAUAACAAUACAUUAUGAUCUAAGGUGUCAAACGCUUUUGAAAAAUCAAGAAAAAUACCAAGGGUGUGUUCUGAAUUGUCUAAACCUGCUACAACCUUAUUAAUGAGAUGAAGAACAGCAAGAUUAGUUGAAUGUUUUGCACGAAACCCAAACUGGAAGUUUGAUAUAUCGUAUUUACGUAAGAAAUCAAGAGUACGUACAUACAUUGUAAACAAUUCUUUCAAAAAUUUUCGAAAAACUAUUUCGAAUCUAUCAGUCAGAAGCUGUUUUACCUGGUAGUAUGGAACAAUGGGAUCCUUUGACUGGUUCUCAGGUAUGCCCCUUAAUUGCAAGUUGAAGUUGCGGGAAUAACGCUCCUGCUGAAGAAUAGCUUCUUUGAGGGUGGUGAUGUUCUUUUGUGCCGUCUCCAGCUGAACAGACAUUCUGGACAUUCCUUCCGUCAGCACCGUGUUUUGGGACUGAAGUUCCUCAAUUAAAAGCCCAAUGACUCCUCCAUAUCUCUCUGCUUUCUUUCGACAUCUGCCACUCUCCCAGGUAGGGAUUCUUGAUUCAGGAGGGCUUUGUCGAGCUUGGCAUUUAUGUCGGCAGCUAGAUUGCGAAUUUCCCGCCUCAGAUUGCCGAUGGCGUCGCCUUCUUCUGUGAUAGUGCCAGGCUAUCGGUCAGUGGCGUCAUCUGGCGGGUUGACCGAGUCGUCUGAUCCAGUCGAGAAUGACUGAGUUUUUUCCUUUCUCUGCAUAAUCACAGGUACACUGUAGAUAAUUACUAUCAAGAGACUCGAUAUAAAGCCAGUGGCACAAGAAUACUGAAAUCUUAGAUUUUCAUGAGAUUUAUGGAGAAUUUACCAGUCAAUUGUGACGGUCCCUGGAGCAUCGAUUUGACACGUCCGUCUACAUGACUAGCGCCCUCUAGAAUAGCAUCCUAUCAAUAUUGUGCAUAUCUUCCCGAGAAUCUUUUGUUGUUGUGUAAUAGUCACUAUCAGCAUUGCAGUAGCCUUACCUUCCUCCUCCCCGGCCCCCAGGCCUCCCAGCUGGCGGCCCUUUGCUUCUCUUGCUGAAAAAAGCAAAUUCAUGUGAUUUACGCGUCAAGUACAAAUGUCAAAUCUCCUACCAGUAGUGUGGAUUUCUUCCAGAGAACCUUUUUGUGUUAGUAUAAUAGUUAUUAUCAGCAUUGCAGUAGCUUUAAUACCUUCCUCCUCCCUGGCCCCCAGGCCUUCCAGCCGGCGGCCCUUUGCUUUUCCUGCUGAAAAACUGCUGAAAAAGGCAACUUCACAUGAUCUACGUGUAUAGUAGAAAUGUCAAAUGUCCUACCAGUAUUGUG